GGGCUCCUCUCCUCCCCCUCGCCCAUUGGGCACCCGCACCUGGUCCAAAAAUUCCCCUGAGGGGACCGAGGGGGCUCGGCCACUUCCAGCUCCCGCCGGGCGGCUGUGACGGCCGCAGCGGGUCGCAGAGCAGGGAGUGGACACGGAGUGGGGAGCGGAGAGGGAAGGAGGAGGAGGAGGAGCAAAGGUGUUGGAGAGAAAACUUCAGAAAGGAACAGGAAACCUGCCGGGGAGGCGGCGGCGGCUGCGGCUUCUCUGGGCGCCUGGGCUGCGCUCUUCGCGGGGUGUCCGCAGCUGCGGUUUGGCCCCGGUCUGGCUUCCCCGGCGCGCACGCACGGCUGAGCCGCGACGCUCAGUGGCUCGGGCCGUGCCCUCCGCCGCGGCUCUUGGCCGCUGUAGUCCCGCGCUCCGAUCCGCUUCUGCCGCGGCGGCUCCCUGGAGAGAGGGCGGCGAGGGCGCAGGGAAGAGGAGGGACGUCCACUGUGGAACAUGAAGCAGCAUGACUGAGAAAAUGUCCAGCUUCCUCUACAUAGGGGACAUCGUGUCCCUGUACGCGGAGGGCUCGGUCAACGGCUUCAUCAGCACCUUGGGGUUAGUGGAUGACAGAUGUGUGGUGCACCCAGAGGCCGGGGACCUUGCCAACCCUCCCAAGAAGUUCAGAGACUGCCUUUUCAAGGUGUGCCCUAUGAACAGAUAUUCUGCCCAGAAGCAAUAUUGGAAAGCAAAGCAAGCCAAACAAGGGAACCACACCGAGGCAGCCUUGCUGAAGAAACUACAGCACGCUGCAGAACUGGAACAAAAACAAAAUGAAUCAGAGAAUAAGAAACUGUUGGGAGAAAUUGUAAAAUACAGUAAUGUUAUACAACUACUGCAUAUAAAAAGCAACAAAUAUCUUACUGUCAACAAGAGAUUACCUGCUUUACUGGAGAAGAAUGCCAUGCGUGUGUCCUUGGAUGCUGCAGGAAAUGAAGGGUCUUGGUUUUAUAUUCAUCCGUUCUGGAAACUGAGAAGCGAGGGUGACAAUAUUGUUGUAGGAGAUAAAGUUGUUUUGAUGCCUGUGAAUGCAGGGCAGCCACUACAUGCCAGCAACAUAGAGCUUCUUGAUAACCCAGGGUGUAAAGAGGUGAAUGCUGUUAAUUGCAACACCAGCUGGAAAAUCACUUUAUUCAUGAAAUAUAGUUCCUAUCGAGAGGAUGUAUUAAAAGGAGGGGACGUUGUUAGAUUAUUUCAUGCGGAACAAGAGAAGUUUUUGACUUGUGAUGAAUAUGAGAAAAAACAGCACAUUUUCCUUCGUACGACCUUGCGCCAAUCAGCUACUUCUGCUACUAGUUCUAAAGCACUCUGGGAAAUAGAGGUGGUUCAUCAUGACCCAUGCCGUGGGGGUGCAGGACAGUGGAACAGCUUGUUCAGAUUUAAGCAUCUUGCAACUGGAAACUAUUUAGCUGCAGAGCUUAAUCCUGAUUAUCGAGAUGCCCAAAAUGAAGGAAAAAAUGUGAGAGAUGGAGUCCCUCCAACUUCAAAGAAAAAACGCCAGGCAGGGGAGAAGAUCAUGUAUACUUUGGUUUCAGUCCCGCAUGGCAAUGACAUUGCAUCCCUUUUUGAACUAGAUGCCACAACUCUUCAGAGAGCUGACUGCCUGGUUCCAAGGAACUCAUAUGUUCGGUUAAGGCAUUUAUGCACCAACACAUGGGUAACCAGUACUAGUAUCCCCAUAGACACAGAUGAAGAGAGGCCUGUUAUGUUAAAGAUUGGAACCUGCCAAACCAAAGAAGAUAAAGAAGCGUUCGCAAUCGUGUCUGUUCCACUGUCUGAAGUUCGAGACUUAGACUUUGCUAAUGAUGCCAAUAAAGUACUAGCGACCACAGUUAAAAAGCUAGAAAACGGCACAAUAACUCAGAAUGAAAGGAGGUUUGUAACCAAAUUAUUGGAAGAUCUCAUAUUCUUUGUUGCUGAUGUGCCUAAUAAUGGACAAGAAGUUCUGGAUGUGGUUAUCACUAAGCCAAACCGAGAGCGUCAAAAAUUGAUGAGGGAACAAAACAUACUGGCACAGGUAUUUGGAAUUCUUAAAGCACCCUUUAAAGAGAAAGCAGGAGAAGGCUCGAUGCUGAGACUUGAAGAUCUGGGGGAUCAAAGAUAUGCACCCUACAAGUACAUGCUACGGCUCUGUUACCGCGUCCUGAGACACUCGCAGCAGGAUUACCGGAAAAAUCAGGAAUAUAUUGCUAAGAAUUUCUGUGUCAUGCAGUCCCAGAUUGGCUAUGAUAUUUUGGCAGAAGAUACUAUCACAGCUUUGUUGCACAACAACAGAAAACUACUAGAGAAACAUAUCACAGCAAAAGAAAUAGAAACAUUUGUCAGUUUACUCAGGAGAAAUCGGGAGCCAAGGUUUUUGGAUUAUUUGUCAGAUCUGUGUGUGUCUAAUACCACCGCUAUCCCUGUAACUCAAGAACUCAUCUGUAAAUUUAUGUUGAGUCCAGGCAAUGCAGACAUUCUCAUUCAAACUAAGGUGGUCUCAAUGCAAGCAGACAACCCCAUGGAGAGCUCCAUCCUUUCGGAUGACAUUGAUGAUGAAGAAGUUUGGCUCUAUUGGAUUGACAGCAACAAGGAACCUCAUGGCAAAGCUAUCAGGCACCUUGCUCAAGAGGCAAAAGAAGGCACCAAAGCUGACUUAGAAGUUCUUACCUAUUACAGGUACCAGCUAAACCUCUUUGCAAGGAUGUGCUUGGAUCGCCAGUAUCUGGCCAUAAACCAGAUUUCUACACAGCUGUCUGUAGACCUGAUCCUGCGGUGUGUGUCGGAUGAGAGCCUGCCGUUCGACCUCCGAGCGUCCUUCUGUCGCCUCAUGCUCCACAUGCACGUUGACCGGGAUCCCCAGGAGUCCGUGGUGCCUGUUCGCUAUGCCAGGCUCUGGACAGAAAUCCCCACAAAGAUCACAAUUCAUGAAUAUGAUUCUAUAACAGACUCUUCCAGAAAUGAUAUGAAGAGGAAAUUUGCCCUGACAAUGGAAUUUGUUGAAGAAUAUUUGAAAGAAGUUGUAAACCAGCCCUUUCCUUUUGGGGAUAAAGAAAAAAAUAAACUGACAUUUGAGGUGGUCCACUUGGCUCGGAAUCUUAUAUACUUUGGAUUUUAUAGUUUCAGUGAGUUAUUAAGGCUAACAAGAACACUUCUGGCUAUUUUAGACAUUGUACAGGCCCCCAUGUCAUCAUACUUUGAAAGAUUAAGCAAAUUUCAAGAUGGAGGAAACAAUGUGAUGAGAACCAUUCAUGGGGUGGGAGAGAUGAUGACCCAGAUGGUACUCAGUAGAGGCUCCAUCUUCCCCAUGAGCAUGCCGGAUGUGCCACCCAGCAUCCACCCGAGCAAGCAAGGGAGCCCCACCGAGCACGAGGAUGUGACUGUGAUGGACACCAAGCUGAAGAUCAUUGAGAUUUUGCAGUUUAUCCUGAGUGUCAGACUGGAUUAUAGGAUCUCAUAUAUGCUGUCAAUAUAUAAGAAGGAGUUUGGAGAGGACAAUGACAAUGCGGAGACAUCUGCCAGUGGAUCUCCAGACACUUUACUACCAUCAGCUAUUGUUCCUGAUAUAGAUGAAAUUGCAGCUCAGGCAGAAACUAUGUUUGCGGGAAGAAAGGAAAAAAAUCCAGUUCAACUUGACGAUGAAGGAGGCAGGACGUUUUUACGGGUCCUCAUUCAUCUGAUCAUGCACGACUACCCGCCUUUGCUGUCUGGAGCCCUGCAGCUGUUGUUUAAGCACUUCAGCCAGAGGGCGGAGGUUUUACAGGCAUUUAAGCAGGUGCAAUUACUGGUGUCUAAUCAAGACGUAGAUAACUACAAGCAAAUCAAGGCAGAUCUAGACCAGCUUCGACUGACAGUAGAAAAGUCUGAGCUAUGGGUGGAGAAGAGCAGCAACUAUGAGAAUGGAGAAAUAGGGGAAAGUCAAGUGAAAGGUGGUGAAGAGCCAAUUGAGGAAUCGAACAUUUUAAGUCCAGUGCAGGAUGGAACAAAGAAACCUCAGAUUGACAGCAACAAGAGCAAUAACUACCGGAUUGUAAAGGAGAUUUUGAUCAGGCUAAGUAAACUCUGUGUACAGAAUAAAAAGUGUCGGAAUCAACAUCAACGAUUACUGAAAAAUAUGGGGGCGCAUUCGGUGGUGUUGGAUCUUCUGCAGAUACCCUAUGAAAAGAAUGAUGAAAAGAUGAAUGAAGUAAUGAAUCUAGCCCAUACAUUUCUGCAGAAUUUCUGUCGAGGAAAUCCACAGAAUCAAGUUCUUCUUCAUAAACAUCUGAGUUUGUUUUUAACUCCAGGUCUCCUUGAAGCAGAAACCAUGCGGCACAUCUUCAUGAACAAUUACCAUCUGUGCAACGAAAUUAGCGAGAGAGUUGUACAGCACUUUGUGCACUGCAUUGAGACACAUGGCCGCCACGUGGAGUACCUGAGGUUUUUGCAAACAAUUGUAAAAGCAGAUGGUAAAUAUGUGAAGAAAUGCCAGGAUAUGGUAAUGACAGAGUUGAUAAAUGGGGGUGAAGACGUGCUGAUAUUUUACAAUGAUAGAGCAUCAUUUCCAAUCCUUCUCCAUAUGAUGUGUUCAGAGAGAGACCGAGGGGAUGAGAGUGGCCCCUUAGCCUACCACAUCACCCUGGUGGAGUUGCUGGCAGCAUGCACAGAGGGGAAAAAUGUCUACACUGAAAUCAAGUGUAAUUCCCUUCUCCCGCUGGACGACAUAGUGAGGGUGGUGACCCAUGACGACUGCAUCCCUGAGGUUAAAAUUGCUUAUGUGAACUUUGUUAAUCACUGUUAUGUUGACACUGAAGUGGAAAUGAAAGAAAUCUAUACAAGUAACCACAUUUGGAAAUUAUUUGAGAACUUCUUGGUGGAUAUGGCAAGGGUUUGCAACACAACUACAGACAGGAAACAUGCAGACAUCUUUUUGGAAAAGUGUGUUACUGAGUCAAUAAUGAAUAUUGUGAGCGGCUUCUUUAAUUCUCCCUUUUCAGACAAUAGUACCAGCCUCCAGACACAUCAGCCAGUUUUUAUUCAGCUACUGCAAUCUGCCUUCAGAAUUUACAAUUGCACCUGGCCAAACCCAGCGCAGAAAGCCUCAGUGGAAUCCUGUAUCAGAACUUUGGCUGAAGUGGCAAAAAAUCGUGGAAUUGCCAUUCCAGUGGAUUUGGACAGCCAAGUUAAUACUCUUUUCAUGAAGAGCCAUUCAAAUAUGGUGCAGAGAGCAGCAAUGGGUUGGAGACUAUCAGCUCGCUCUGGGCCACGCUUUAAGGAAGCUCUUGGAGGGCCUGCUUGGGAUUACAGAAAUAUUAUUGAAAAGUUACAGGAUGUAGUGGCCUCCUUGGAGCACCAGUUCAGCCCAAUGAUGCAGGCUGAAUUCUCAGUGUUGGUUGAUGUAUUGUACAGUCCAGAACUGCUGUUCCCUGAGGGAAGCGAUGCAAGAAUAAGAUGUGGCGCUUUCAUGUCGAAGUUGAUUAAUCAUACAAAGAAACUAAUGGAGAAAGAAGAAAAACUGUGCAUUAAAAUUCUUCAGACAUUACGAGAAAUGUUAGAGAAGAAAGACAGCUUUGUGGAAGAGGGUAACACAUUAAGAAAGAUACUUCUGAAUCGAUACUUUAAAGGUGAUUAUAGUAUUGGUGUGAAUGGACACCUAUCAGGGGCCUACUCCAAAACUGCACAGGUGGGAGGAAGCUUUUCUGGACAAGAUUCAGAUAAGAUGGGGAUAUCAAUGUCAGACAUUCAGUGUCUGCUGGAUAAAGAAGGUGCAUCAGAACUUGUCAUCGAUGUUAUAGUGAACACCAAAAAUGACAGAAUUUUUUCAGAAGGCAUUUUCCUCGGCAUUGCCUUGCUUGAAGGAGGAAAUACACAAACACAGUAUUCUUUCUACCAGCAGUUGCAUGAACAAAAAAAGUCAGAAAAAUUCUUUAAAGUUCUCUAUGAUCGAAUGAAGGCUGCUCAGAAAGAAAUAAGAUCAACAGUGACAGUUAAUACCAUAGAUUUAGGUAACAAAAAAAGGGACGAUGACAAUGAAUUGAUGACAUCUGGUCCACGAAUGAGAGUAAGAGAUUCAACACUACAUUUAAAAGAAGGAAUGAAAGGGCAAUUAACAGAAGCUUCUUCAGCAACAUCCAAAGCAUAUUGUGUAUACAGAAGAGAAAUGGAUCCAGAAAUAGACAUUAUGUGCACAGGACCAGAAGCGGGAAACACUGAGGAAAAAUCCGCAGAGGAAGUAACAAUGAGUCCCGCAAUUGCCAUCAUGCAGCCAAUACUGAGAUUUCUUCAGUUACUGUGUGAGAAUCACAACCGGGAAUUGCAGAACUUCUUGAGGAAUCAAAACAACAAAACAAAUUACAACCUAGUCUGUGAGACCCUUCAGUUUCUGGACUGCAUUUGUGGAAGUACAACCGGUGGCCUGGGCCUGUUGGGUCUCUACAUCAAUGAGAAGAAUGUAGCACUGGUCAACCAGACCCUGGAGAGCUUGACUGAGUAUUGCCAGGGCCCUUGCCAUGAAAAUCAGACCUGUAUUGCUACACAUGAAUCUAAUGGGAUUGAUAUCAUCAUUGCUUUGAUUCUGAAUGACAUAAACCCUCUUGGUAAAUACCGAAUGGACCUGGUGCUCCAGCUAAAGAACAAUGCAUCUAAACUUUUGCUGGCCAUUAUGGAAAGCAGACAUGACAGUGAGAAUGCAGAAAGAAUUCUUUUUAACAUGAGACCCAGAGAACUGGUGGAUGUGAUGAAGAAUGCCUAUAACCAAGGAUUGGAAUGUGACCAUGGGGAUGAUGAGGGUGGAGAUGAUGGUGUUUCUCCAAAAGAUGUUGGACACAAUAUCUAUAUUCUGGCCCAUCAGUUGGCCCGCCACAAUAAACUAUUGCAGCAGAUGCUCAAACCAGGAUCAGAUCCAGAUGAAGGAGAUGAAGCCUUAAAAUAUUAUGCCAAGCACACUGCACAGAUUGAGAUUGUCCGGCAUGAUAGGACCAUGGAACAAAUAGUUUUUCCUGUCCCCAAUAUAUGUGAAUACCUCACUCGAGAAUCCAAGUGCCGUGUGUUCAAUACGACUGAAAGGGAUGAACAAGGAAGUAAAGUGAAUGACUUUUUCCAGCAAACAGAAGAUCUCUACAAUGAAAUGAAGUGGCAGAAGAAAAUCAGGAAUAACCCUGCACUGUUCUGGUUCUCGAGGCACAUCUCUCUCUGGGGGAGCAUUUCCUUCAACCUGGCUGUGUUCAUCAAUUUAGCUGUUGCUCUCUUCUACCCAUUUGGGGAUGAUGGAGAUGAAGGUACACUUUCUCCAUUGUUCUCGGUUCUUCUUUGGAUAGCAGUUGCGAUCUGCACAUCUAUGCUGUUUUUCUUCUCCAAGCCUGUGGGUAUUCGGCCGUUUCUUGUAUCAAUAAUGCUCAGAUCAAUAUAUACAAUAGGUCUUGGGCCUACAUUAAUACUUCUUGGUGCAGCUAAUCUUUGUAAUAAAAUUGUUUUUCUGGUGAGUUUUGUUGGAAAUCGUGGCACGUUCACCCGUGGGUACCGAGCAGUCAUCCUGGAUAUGGCCUUUCUCUAUCACGUGGCGUAUGUCCUGGUUUGCAUGCUGGGCCUUUUUGUCCAUGAAUUCUUCUAUAGCUUCCUGCUUUUUGAUUUGGUGUACAGAGAAGAGACUUUGCUGAAUGUCAUAAAAAGUGUCACACGAAAUGGCCGCUCUAUUAUUCUAACUGCAGUCCUGGCUCUCAUCCUCGUCUACCUGUUUUCCAUUAUUGGGUUCCUUUUUUUGAAGGAUGACUUCACUAUGGAAGUUGAUAGGCUGAAAAACCGAACUCCUGUUACAGGCAGUCAUCAAGUGCCUACUAUGACUUUAACUACCAUGAUGGAAGCAUGUGCCAAGGAGAACUGUUCACCCACAAUUCCAGCUUCAAAUACAGAAGAAACAAAAUAUUUGAGGACAUUACAUAUGUGGCUUCAUCAUUAUGUGUCAGUCAUGUGCUGCCACAUAUGGAACAGAUGCUGUGUGACUGCCAAAAGUUGUGUCACGGCACAAUUAGAAAUAGCCCUUUGGAAGGAGCUGAUGAAGAGUAUGAAGAUGGAAUUGAAAGGACGUGUGACACUCUCCUUAUGUGCAUUGUCACUGUGCUGAACCAGGGCCUCAGGAAUGGCGGUGGUGUGGGGGACGUGCUAAGAAGGCCAUCGAAAGAUGAGCCCUUGUUUGCUGCCCGAGUGGUUUAUGACCUUCUUUUUUAUUUCAUUGUUAUCAUUAUUGUUCUGAACUUGAUUUUUGGUGUUAUCAUCGAUACUUUUGCUGAUCUCAGAAGCGAAAAACAGAAAAAAGAAGAAAUUCUAAAGACAACUUGUUUCAUCUGUGGACUCGAGAGAGACAAGUUUGAUAAUAAAACGGUUUCAUUUGAGGAGCACAUUAAGUCAGAACACAAUAUGUGGCAUUAUUUAUACUUCAUAGUCCUGGUGAAAGUUAAAGACCCAACAGAAUACACUGGACCUGAAAGUUAUGUGGCUCAAAUGAUUGUGGAGAAGAAUUUGGAUUGGUUUCCUCGGAUGCGAGCCAUGUCCCUCGUUAGCAAUGAAGGCGACAGUGAGCAAAAUGAAAUUCGGAGCCUUCAGGAGAAGUUGGAAUCGACCAUGAGUCUGGUCAAACAGCUGUCGGGUCAGCUGGCGGAGCUCAAGGAGCAGAUGACAGAACAAAGGAAGAAUAAGCAGAGACUGGGCUUCCUCGGAUCAAACACACCCCAUGUGAAUCAUCACAUGCCACCACACUGAUACCAUGGGGGGAAGCCGUGACUAGCCUUUCAUCAGUGUCCUGCCUGAUCACUGAAUAAAGAACUGAGAUGGAGGGGAGUGAACAGUGCCUAUUGUUGAAAAGUUAAAAACAACCAAGUGCCAAGAUGUUGAGUGGGUUAGCUCCGAGAACAAUUUAUAACUGUGUUUUCAUGGUUGCGAAGACCUAACCUCAAAUGCAUCUGCUAGAAAGCGUACAUCACACAUUCGCAAUGCAUCAGGAAGAAAAGGCUUGCCCAAAAGGCUGGAGAGGGCAGGGAGCGGCAGGAUGGAAGGAGACACGGGGCAGGGAGAACUCUCUUCUGCUAAAUCGAUAGGAGUCAGUUUUGUCUUAAAUGCUGACUACAGCCACUGACAUGGUUGGCUGGAAUUUCUUUCUUUUAAUUGUGGCAUAUAGGUUUGUGACACAAGAAGUCAUACUUUGGUGGCUAAGUUUUACUAAGGAAAAUAACUGAAAAGAUUAAAAGUGAGAGUUGAAAAGAGAAAUGAUAAUGCUUCCAAACUGUAGCUGUCACAGGGCAAUUUCUUUAUUUAUAACAUGAAGCACAAUGGAUUUACAGCUCUAGGAACUUAGUACUUUGGAGCUUUUGCCUCUCACGCUGACAACAUAACAGAAUGUGAUUGCCUUCUCUGGGAUUCAGACAGGCUCUGUCAAUGUGGAGCACAAAAGGAGAUUUUCAUAUAACUUGUUAAAAACAUGUUCUAAGUCAUGUAUAGGCUAAGAUUUUAAGAAGAUCUGGGGGAAUAAAAAGCCAACAGUAAGCCUCAGGAAAGGGUUUUUUGAGACCAUAUGUAUGCUAUUAAAAUAUAUUGAGAUUAAUACAUGAAAAUGCUUAAAAGUGAUAGGAAUUAUUGAGAAACUUAUGAUGGUGGCAUUGCCUUUUAUAAACAUGGAGUGAAAGCCAUUUGACUCAACGUUUGCUGUGCUUAAAGAACUGCUUCAGGACCCGAGCGUUUUUAUUUAUGCUAUUCCUGCAGUUAGGAAAAAAAAAUCCAAGAAAUGUAUUGAAUACUCAAGAAAAUGCCACAUUUCAAUUACAUAUUUAAAACUGUAUCUGUAAGGGCUUUUCAAAAUGUAGCAAGACAAAAAUCUCUUAUUCAAACUGUUUUUGUAUUAAAUCAUGCACUCAGAAUUUGUCGAGGGAGAGAAUAACCUGGUGUGUUCAGGUUAUUCUUAGAGACUACACAUUUGGAAUAGCAGAGCAAAAUAUGGAUAAUGAAAGUGUUAGGAAAAAAGUGAUGUGACAGGGAGUGAAGGCACUUGAUACCAGACUCCGGGAGAUGCUCUGCAAGUUGACCUGGCCUCUCCCCCACAGGAACAAAACACUGCCUCCAGAGUCUUUAAAUUCUCAGUUAUCAACGCCAAGGUUUAAGGUCCAGAUAGGGUUUGCUAUAGGGUUUGCUCUGACAAUUUUUAAAGCUUUUGGAUUGUUCUAACAUAGCUUAAGCUAUUGGUUCCUAAAAAUCCUAAAUCAAGAUCUAUGUAGAAUAUAAAGGAAGCCUGAACCAAUCCUUCCACACACUGUUAAGAUGUAGACUUGGAACAAAGCUGUUGGGACCCAGAGCAAUGAAUUUUUGAACUGAAGCUACUGGUACUCCCCAGCACCACCUCAUACUAAGAAUUCCUCACUCUGACAUGACAGUACUUUUUCUGACCAGGAGCUGAAAGACCCUGACAUUCAUGAUCCAAAGAUAUAAGAAAUUUUGAUAUGUCUGCAUGCAGCACAGAACUUUGAACCUAGCAGGCAGUCAAUAAAUACAUGAGAAAUUCAGCUGUCAUUCAGUUACUCUUAAUUCUUUAUAAAACUUUAAAUGAUACCACAUAUUUGUUUGUUUAAAAUGGCUUUCCCAAAAUCAAAGUAGACUAAAGCAGCCAUCUUUAAAAUCCAGGAUCAUCAAUGCUAUUAACAGUAUCAGGUAAAAAGUACACUUUAAAAUAUUUUAAUCAGGCAGAGUUUUAUGGAUAGAGAAUAGAAGAGAAAGGUAGUAAAUAUUGAACAUAUUCCAAUAUAGGAACCUAUCUCUGUUUUAGUACAAAAUAAAAUAUUUCUGACAUCUGAACUAGAGAUCAAGAGAAUAAAUUCAUUUGUAUACAUCUGAGCAACCUGUCUUUCAGAUGAUAAAGUAUCUAGCCUUUUCUGACACCAUAAUAGUUCAUUUUGUAGGGAAUAAGCCAUUAGGUGUAUAUAAUUGCUUUCUAGAAAUGACCUAAUGUCCCCAACCACUGUGUAGUGGCAGAUCACUGUUUCACAGCAUAUUUUCUCCCAAGGAAAGUAUUCAAAAGAGACUGCAACUAACAAGACUCUUAUUUCAUCAAAAUUUAAAUAUUUCUGAGUUGUAUUUUUAAUGCCUCUUUCUUUUCUGCCUAAAUGCUUAGAAAUUAUAAAGCAAAAAAAAAAAAAAAACAGCAACAAAAAAUCGAAGCAGACAAAAAAGGCACUUUUCAGAACAUCCAAUUCCUAAUGAAGAAGAGGAGAAGAUAAUGGGGAAAUUUGACAUUUGCUAUAAAUUUAUAUUUGUUAUGUGUAUGUUUGUUAAUGCAACUGGAAUAUUUGACUUAGGUGAGUAUCAGUUAACAUCCUUGUAUUUAUAUAGUGACAUCAAAAUAAAUGCAAUCAUCUUGAACUU